rnacentral:rRNA from 1 species
AUUGAACGCUGUCGGCAGGCCUAACACAUGCAAGUCGAACGAGUAGCGGACGGGUGAGUAAUGUAUGGGAAACUGACUGAUGGAGGGGGAUAACUACUGGAAACGGUAGCUAAUAGCGCAUACCAUCGGAUGUGCACAGAUGGGAGUAGCUAGUAGGUGGGGCAAAGGCUCACCUAGGCGACGAGCCCUAGCUGGUCGGAGAGGAUGAGCAGCCACACUGUAACUGAGACACGGUCCAGACUCCUACGGGAGGCAGCAGUGGGGAAUAGUGCACAAUGGGCGCAAGCCUGAUGAAGCCAUGCCGCGGGUAUGAAGAAGGCCUUCGGGUUGUAAAGUACUUUCAGCGGGGAGGCGUUACCCGCAGAAGAAGCACCGGCUAACUCCGUGCCAGCAGCCGCGGUAAUUC